rnacentral:rRNA from 1 species
GACGAACGCUGGCGGCGUGCCUAACACAUGCAAGUCGAACGGAAAGGCCCUGCUUUUGUGGGCUGCUCGAGUGGCGAACGGGUGAGUAACACGUGAGUAACCUGCACCUGACUUUGGGUUAACCUCAGGAAACUGGGGCUAAUACCGGAAAGGAGUUCCUGCUGCAUGGUGGGGGUUGGAAAGUUUCGGCGGUUGGGGAUGGACUCGCGGCCUAUUAGCUUGUUGGUGGGGUAGUGGCUUACCAAGGCUUGGACGCGUAGCCGGGCUGAGAGGGUAACCGGCCACAUUGGGACGGGGAUGCGGCACAGCCUCGUCCGGGAGGCAACGGUGGGGAGUGUUGCACUAGGGGCUGAAGGCUGGUGCAGUCACGCCGCGUGCGGGAUGACGGCCUUGGGGUUGUAUACCGCUUCCGCCUGUGCCGAAGCGUGAGUGACGGUACUGGGUAAAGAAGCCCCGGCUAACUACGUG